ACACCUCAACUCUUCAUGGUUUUCCAUGAUGAGCUUGGACUUUGGGGGACUUGCUGGCCUACAGUCAGCUCCUCUAAAAUAAAUCAGCUUGCCAGUGUUUGGUGGGUAUCGCAGGUGUGAUAACUAUCUACGCUUGUGGUUUUCCACCAAGUAACCUUCAGCGAUGGAGGUUCGCUGGAGCUCACAGAUGUCUCUCCUCAGUGAGGACAGCCCUUUGAAU
rnacentral:misc_RNA from 1 species